AGUGGACAUUGUGUCUUGAGGCCAUGGAAAUGUACCUGGAGGAUCAGAAUAAAGGGGGGGAAGGUGGAGACCCAUUCCUCCAGUAUUAUUUUUUAAUGGCUUUAAAAAAAGCACUCACCGUUGCAGUUCCCUUUUGCUGAGCCCAAAUCUGUGCCUUCCUCCAGGUGAGUCCCUGAGGGCCGUUUUUGCUGAACACUUUUGAGCCCCCAAUGUAUACAUUUAGGGAUCCCACUCCACUGCCGACCAUGUGAUAGUAGAAGAAGAGGCAUUUAUCGCCGCUAAAAUCCAAAGAUACCAACUCCAUCCUAGAUGUAUCACCACGUCUCCGGUCUGAUGCCUCGGUGUACAUGUAAUAACCUGUACAUGGUAUCAUCAUUAACACAAUCAUCAUUAUCACAAAUAUUGCGGCCUAAAUGGAUUAUGACGUCAUCUUUCAAGUCCCUCGCCUUUUACCGCCGGGAAGGUAUAUUUUUCGCUUUAAAAGCUUUUUCCCGUCGAUUUUUGCAAUUUUAGAGGAGCCAGUGCGUUAGGUCAUCUUUCCAAGAUAUCUCGUGCAACGCUUCGAAGCGAUGGAGUAAAAAUUAUGGAAGAUGAUAUUGACCAUGGCAAAGAAGAUGAAGAUAAGUAAAUAUAUGGAUAUAUAUAAGGAUGGACAGAGAGAUCAUUGAAUUUUCUCCUUUGUAUUCCACUCUUAGUGAUAAAAAAACUUAUACUAUUCUUUUUUUUAAAUAUUUGUUUUAUUUGUUCAAGCUAUGUGUUAUUGACUAUUACACUUUUUGAAAGUAUGGUUACAAACUGACCCCCUAGUUCUUAAGCACUGCCAAGAAAAUAGGGAGGACCCCCUUCGUAUUUACAAAGACAAUGCUUAAAGAACGCUGCUUGAUGGAAAAAUGGUAUGAGAUUAUAUGUUUUUCAACGUUAGUUGAGAUUUGCACCCCAGCCUCUGCUACGGCCCUGCCCCUGGUCCAUGGACUCCUUGUUAAAAAUAGGUUUUCUAGUAAUAAUAUGUUUUCUAGCAAAGGAAGGUUUUUUCUGCUUCUAUUAUGAUCCGAGUAUAAACCAAGAGCAUGGAUGAAGGUUGGUUAAAAUGUUUCUAUUUAUUAAAUCCCAGAGCUAACACAUUAUUAUACUUCUGUUUUUUUUUUAAUUCACACUAAAACAUAAUAUAAGACACAGCAUAUUGUGCAUUCAAAAGGUGCAAUGGGCUUUAGAAAUGAGAGGGGAUCUAUGAUUAUUUCACAUCACUUUUUGGUGCUUGAUUGUUAAAAUUGUAUGACUGGACAAAUUUUUUCCACUUUUCUCCCAUUUACUCUGACUGAAAAUUUUCUACCAGAAAGAAUUCAAAUCCUUAGAAUUCUGUUGGAGUAAAAUUGUUUAGGAGAAGAAUGAUAAGCUCAUGAAAAUGAUUUGUUUUCUAGACAUAUUGCAUUAUACAUAUGCUGUAAAAAACAUUUACAACAUAACAUGUGUCCACUGCAUUUCUUUGGGAGUGAACAUUUUACCAACAGGCUUCUGUAUUUUGGGGGUGGCAAGUUUCCAUCUGUUUUGGGUGUAUGACAUUUUGAGCUCUGUUGGACCAUUCCAUAAUGUUUAUAACUGAGUACUGCCCCCCCCCCCCCCCCCCCCCUUCCAACCCACCCCUGGGCAAUUAUCCCUCUAACUUUCAAGGCAUAUAAAUCCUAAGCCCAUUCAGCCUUUCGGCUAUUAAGUCAUAGCCCAUUCAUGCUCUAGGGACAUUCUCAAAAUCUUAAGAGUUAUACAAAAGAUGGGCUGGUUGGUACAAGCCAAGCAAAAAAAAAAUCAAACUGUGUCUUCAAUUUGUUUUAUUUGAUAUUCUGUGUACCACAUGCUUUUUGUGUGUAGGGGAUGAGACGAUUUAAGCUUUAAUCACUAUUAAGUCAUUAAAACAAAUAUUAAAUACUGUAUGUGUCAAGUAAUUUUCUGCAAUGGCUGAUCCAAGUGUGGUUCUGUGGUCCAAUCCUUUUUAAGCACAAAGCUAUUGUAAUAGUUUUCAUAAAUUGAACCACCUUAGAAAAAUUCUAGACCCCCAUUCAGCUUUUAACAGCGCCUGCACAAGGCAAUUUAAAAAAUGAAUGUUCAUGAUCGACCGACAAUAUCGGACGGGCUGCAUAUAUAACUUAUUGAGGCUAAACACAACACACCAUAAGGCAUGUAUUUAUGCAUGCAUUAUGAGCUUCGGGGGACGCAACGAAAACCAUUUGCAGUAUUGAGUAGUCAAUUCCAGGGUCAAGAAUCCAUGCCUGUUUGUCCACCGUUAAGUGUGCCUUCGAAUUCCAGUAUAAUUACGCUUCCAAGCUGUAAUUCAUUCGUGAUGACCAUAAUCCUCACUGUCAUCUAUUGACUAUAGCGAAUCGGACUUUCACACCGAACAUAGCCAUUCAAAAUAUAAAAUUUAACACAUCUUUGCGCCCAAAGGCUUUUCUACAAGUCUUUUAAGUUUUGAUACGUCUAAAACUCUACCAAAAAGCAGAAAGAUACUGUUUAUGCUCUUAUUCUCGUCUCUCUAUGGCCGCCAUGUUUUUUACUUAGGUCCAGCGAGUGUUAUGACGUCAUCUUACAAUUAACUGUGAUUGGUUGUUUCAAUGUUUUGAUGCCUCGAAUGUCAAAACAGAAAAGUGUUUCCAGAAAAGGAAAUGUUCCGAGGUGGAUCAUCAUAAAUAUCAUCACCGGCAACACGACUUCUUCUUGAUGCGUCUGUGUUCAUGUAUUUUUUAUUUCUUACCUGACCAACCUCAGUUUUUAUUUCUGCUGGGUAACUGCUCUAUUUGUUCAAUGUUCCCUGUAACUAGCCUUUGGUCCGAUAAAGUAGAAUAUGCAGCGAUUUGUUACACUCCCCUGUAUUAUAGCUCAUUACUGUACCUUUCAUUGACGUGUGAUCCGAGCUCGGCCCAGUCCCUUGGGAUGGAGUUCUCCCGCGCCGUCUGGACCAAUCAAAGUCAUCGUUCUUCAUCUGCACGAAGCCACAGUCAUCUUUCUCAAAGUCGCAUUUGAAACCUAGCAUAUGGCAAGUUUUGUGAGGAGCCAAGUUGUGGAUCGGUGCUCACUACUUUAUAUUCACAUUUUUUCGAUAUGCUUUUUAUGAUAUUUUUAUGAUAUUUAUAGAUGUUUGUGAAAUAUUCACUUAAAAUGACUGACAAGCAAAGACCUGGAAUAUAUAUAUAUAUAUUAUGUGUGUGUUUGGGUAUUUUCCUUUUGUUGCACUUCAUUCACAUGAUGAUCAGCGACCUACAUGAUGGGUGUAGUGGUAAAGUGAAGUGUGACGUGUAGAGGUAAAAGAGAUAAAUAAAAAUUUAGAAAACA